GGGCCCUUAGCUCAGGAGUAGAGCGACUCGUUGACAUCGAGUAGGUCGGAAGUGCGAAUCUUUCAGGGCCCACCA
rnacentral:tRNA from 1 species